rnacentral:rRNA from 1 species
CAGGGAGAGGCUUUGGAGAAGCCUGAUACAGCCUGCCGCGUGAGUGAGAAGGCCUUCGGGUUGUAAAGCUCUUUUAACUACAGGGAAAAUGACUGAACGUGGAUCAAUUGGACCGGAAGUCUGGUGCCAGCAACCCCGGUACUACUCCAUGCG